CAGACAGGCAGAGAGGAAAGACAGCGUGAAGACACAGGGAGAUGACAGCCGGCUACAGCCAAGGAAAGACGCCUGGAACAGCUCCUUCCCUCACAGCCCUCAGAAGGAAGCAGCACUGCCAUCAUCUUGCUUUCAGACUACUAGCCUCCAGAACUGUGAGACAACCAAUUUUCUGUUGUAAUGCUCAACACCAUGAAGAGAAAAAUAACAACCCUAGGACAUGGUUCCUUUGCUGAAAACCCUUCCAAGACCACAGAUGAAGAGGAGACCUCCUGUCCUUGGCUAGCUCUUGCUAGAGCCACGUACUGCUCCCUCCUCACUUUUAACUUCUUAAUUUUCUCAGGAAGGUUCCAGGACCCUCGUGGGAAGGAGCUGGGAGUUGUUACUCCGAAGACGUCCCUUUGAAGCACUGAGAGAAUGGGGAAAUGUGGUCAAGAAACAGUGCAUCCAAGAGAACAGGUCAGUCAUUUUACUGGCUACGGAGGAAGAGAGACCUUCACAGCAAGGACGGGCCUGCAAAUGAGGGCAGAAUGGGCAAAAGCAGGCCAAAAGAACAGUGUACUGGGAAGGGCAGAAUCAGGCCAAAUCUAUCUAUGAAAGACCUACUUGCAGACUAUUCUAUAUUCUAGAUCCUCCACUUGGGUCAUGGAGAAUGUAAAAUAAGUUUAGGCAAAUCAUUAAAACUGUUGCAGUUGUAAAUACCAUGUGAAAUGGUUUAC
rnacentral:lncRNA from 1 species